GAACGAUAAUAGCAAAUCCGUUGAAAGACGGAGACGCAAAGCCACGGAGCUAAAGGGAAUUGAAUGUUGGAUUUACCACUCUAACAUUCUUCCUCAGUUUCUACUCCCCAAGCCCGCCGAGCUUCCGAA
rnacentral:ncRNA from 1 species